rnacentral:rRNA from 1 species
UACGUAGGUGGCAAGCGUUGUCCGGAUUUACUGGGUGUAAAGGGCGUGUAGCCGGGAAGGCAAGUCAGAUGUGAAAUCCGGAGGCUCAACCUCCGAAUUGCAUUUGAAACUGUUUUUCUUGAGUACUGGAGAGGCAGACGGAAUUCCUUGUGUAGCGGUGGAAUGCGUAGAUAUUAGGAGGAACACCAGUGGCGAAGGCGAUUUGCUGGACUGUAACUGACACUGAGGCACGAAAGCGUGGGGAGCAAACAGG